rnacentral:lncRNA from 1 species
GAAAUGCCGUAUAGAAAAGCACCAUUGUUUUUACAGUUUGUAGUAACUUUUUAAAGAUUUUAUGGAAAGGAAUUUUGUCUAUAGUAAGACAUUGUAGUAAUGGUCCGAAUAAUCACUGCAUUUUUAAACACAAAGUUGAACACAAAUUACAUUUCUUUAAACUUAAAAAAUUAUUAUGCACAAAGGUAGAGUUGCAGGUUACAUGAGCCUUUAAUACAGAUGAGUCGAAAUCAAGUGAACACUGCCUCCACACUGAGUUUUGUUCUGUAUUUGAUAGUAAAAAUGAUUUAAAAAUAAAAGUGGUUUUGUUAG